GGGGCUCCUGGGAGUCCGCCAUCUUGUGGACAGUGAAGGGCCAGCCGUCUGCUCUCUACUGGAUCUGAAGACAUCCCUGGGAGCAGAGCGGAUGUUGGUAGCAGAUUCCAGUAUGGGAAGCUCAGAGAAGUUUCCAGAUGGCAGAUUAUGGGAUUUUUUUCCGCCUUCAAAAUUGAACCCUUGUGAAGGCAACCAAUCGUGGACCUCACUCUC
rnacentral:lncRNA from 9 species